rnacentral:rRNA from 1 species
AUUGAACGCUAGCGGCAGGCUUAACACAUGCAAGUCGGGCGAGCGGAGGACGGGUGAGUAAUGUAUGGGGAUCUGCCCGAUGGCGGGGGAUAACUACUGGAAACGGUAGCUAAUACCGCAUACCAUUCGAUGGACCGAUAUGGGAUUAGCUUGUGGGUGGGGUAACGGCUCACCAAGGCGACGAUCCCUAGCUGGUUUGAGAGGAGGAUCAGCCACACGGGGAUUGAGACACGGCCCAGACUCCUACGGGAGGCAGCAGUGGGGAAUAUUGGACAAUGGGCGCAAGCCUGAUCCAGCCAUUCCGCGUGUAUGAAGAAGGCCGUCGGGUUGUAAAGUACGUUCAGUCGGGAGGCGUUACCUACAGAAGAAGCACCGGCUAACUCCGUGCCAGCAGCCGCGGUAAUUC